UAUGUGAUCGUCUCUCGCAUAUCAAUAAGCGGAGGAAAAGAAACUAACAAGGAUUCCCCUAGUAACGGCGAGUGAAGCGGGAAGAGCUCAAAUUUGAAAUCUUAAAGGGUUUCCCUUUACGAAUUGUAGUUUAAAGAAGUGUUUUCUGUUGAGGUUUUGGUAAAAGUUCUUUGGAAUAGGACAUCAUAGAGGGUGAGAAUCCCGUAUUUGACCUUUACUUUCAACUUUGUGAUACACUUUCAAAGAGUCGGAUUGUUUGGGAAUGCAGUCCAAAAUGGGUGGUAAAUUUCAUCUAAAGCUAAAUAUUGGCGAGAGACCGAUAGCGAACAAGUACCGUGAGGGAGAGAUGAAAAGAACUUUGAAAAGAGAGUUAAACAGUACGUGAAAUUGUCAAAAGGGAAGCGUUUGACACCAGUGUUGUUUUUCUGAAAAUCAAUUAAAGAACUGUCUUAUGCUAAGCUGUUUAGACUUUAUCAGCUAAUCUGUUUAGUUUUGAGCUUUUCUUUAAUGCACUUUUCAGUUAACAAGUCAACAUCAAUUUCUUUUGCUGUAAAAAAGCUUGAGGAAGGUGGCUUGAGAUUCGUCUUAAGUGUUUAUAGCCUCUUGCCUAUGCAGUCGGAGAGAUUGAGGUCUGCAGCGUAGAUCCUUCGGGGCUAAAUGCAUUUGUGCUAAGUUAUAGCAUUUUAUAGACAACUUGUUGACUAUGAUUUGUCUUGUAGCUUACUCGCUUAUGUUAUUUUACCUACGCUUAGGAUGUUGACGCGCGUGUGUGCGUG
rnacentral:rRNA from 1 species